UACUUGGAUAACUGUGGUAAUUCUAGAGCUAAUACAUGCAUUAAAGCUCUGACCUCACGGGAAGAGUGCAUUUAUUAGAACAAAACCAAGCGGCUUCGGCUGUUUCUGGUUGACUCAUAGUAACUGAGCUGAUCGCAUGGUCUUGCACCGGCGACGUGUCUUUCAAGUAUCUGCCGUAUCAACUUUCGAUGGUAGUGUAUCUGACUACCAUGGUGAUCACGCGUAACGGAGAAUAAGGGUUCGGCUCCGGAGAGUUCGCCUGAGAAAUCGCGAACACAUCUAAGGAAGGCAGCAGGCGCGAAAAUUACCCACUCUCAGCACGAGGAGGUAGUGACGAAAAAUAACGAGACCGUUCUCUUAUGAGGCCGGUCAUCGGAAUGGGUACAAUUUAAACCCUUUAACGAGUAUCUAUGAGAGGGCAAGUCUGGUGCCAGCAGCCGCGGUAAUUCCAGCUCUCAAAGUGCAUAGAAUUAUUGCUGCGGUUAAAAAGCUCGUAGUUGGAUCUGUGCCAUAGGACGUGGUCCACCUUCGGGUGCGUACUACGCUCCUAGGCUUUUUGCUGGUUUUCCCGUCGUAGCCUUCACUGGUUGCGGCGGGUGGCUGGCGAGUUUACUUUGAGAAAAUCAGAGUGCUCAAUACAGGCGUAUCGCUUGAAUGAUUGUGCAUGGAAUAAUAGAAAAGGAUUUCGGUCCUCUUUUAUUGGUUUUGUGGACUGAGAUAAUGGUUAACAGGGACAAACGGGGGCAUUCGUAUCUCUGC
rnacentral:rRNA from 1 species